rnacentral:rRNA from 1 species
UACGAAGGGUGCUAGCGUUGUUCGGAAUUACUGGGCGUAAAGCGCGCGUAGGCGGUUAUUCAAGUCAGGGGUGAAAUCCUUGGGCUCAACCCAAGAAUUGCCUUUGAAACUGUAUAGCUAGAGUGUCGGAGGGGAUAGCGGAAUUCCUAAUGUAGAGGUGAAAUUCGUAGAUAUUAGGAGGAACACCAGUGGCGAAGGCGGCUCGCUGGGCCGGUCCUGACGCUGAGACGCGAAGGCGUGGGGAGCGAACGGG